rnacentral:rRNA from 1 species
UACGUAGGCAGCAAGCGUUGUUCGGAAUUACUGGGCGUAAAGAGUGUGUAGGCGGUGCUCUAAGUUCGGUGUGAAAUCUCCCGGCUCAACUGGGAGGGUGCGCCCGAAAAACUGGAGUGCUGGAGCGCGGGAGAGGAAAGCGGAAUUCCUGGUGUAGCGGUGAAAUGACGUAGAUAUCAGGAGGAACACCGGCGGUGUAGACGGCUUUCGUGGACCGUAGCUGACGCUGAGACACGAAGACGUGGGUAGCAAACAGG